AGCGAGCGCGGAAGCGUGCUUCCUCGUGUUGGGAGGGAAGGACCCCCCCCCCUUUUGUCCCCCGCACUUGGCUUCGGGCUGAUCACGGGGGCGGUGAUGACGACUCUCGGCGGGGCGCGGGCCUCGGGAGCGCACCCCGCAGGCCCCGGACGGGGAGGCAGAGGGGGCUCGGGCCGAACGCGGGCUCCGAAGCCGGGGCGGGGCGGGCAGUAGUAGGGUCUCCUCGGAAAACGAGAACUUUCCCGUCCCCCGGCGAUUAGAUGCAGGCAGGCACCGAUUGGCCGCUUUGUCCUCGUCGGUCACAGCACCCAGAGCACCCUCCCUAUGGGGAUCCAGGUGAGUUUACGGGAAGAUCUGUGUGCAGGCUGAACGUGUGCCAGUUUCUUUUCUGCCUGGUUCCUUGUGCCUGAAAUAGAAUUGUUGGGGCCUGGAACUUUCCAGAUUCCUUUGGUUUCAUUCCCUCAACCAUGUCACUUUGGAACGCGGGCCCUGUUCGUGCUUCAGACCCUGUUUUGUAUGGACCUGAAUAAAAGGGGUCAGUCCCCAAGGAGCAUUU